GCUGGACAAGAUGGUCGCCCCGGACCUCCUGGCUCUGUUGGAGCCAGAGGCCAGCCCGGAGUCAUGGGAUUCCCCGGACCCAAGGGAGCCGCUGGUGAGGCUGGAAAGUCUGGCGAGAGAGGAGUGAUGGGACCCACCGGCCCCACCGGUGCCCCCGGAAAGGACGGCGAUGUUGGCGCUCAGGGCCCCGUUGGACCUGCCGUAAGU